GCCAGUGUGGUCUAGUGGUUUGAGCAUUGGACCACGACUCUGGAGACCAGGGUUUGAUUCCCUGCUCAGCCA
rnacentral:tRNA from 1 species